GACGAACGCUGGCGGCGUGCCUAACACAUGCAAGUCGAGCGGAGAUUUCUUUGGCACUGAAUACUCUAGCAAUGAAGCGGACCAAGCGUCAUGAAGAAACAACAUAGAUGUUGAGAUCAUGAUAGAAGUUUCUUCAUCACGCGUUUUUCAAGUGCCAACACAUGAGAACAAUACGAAAUAGAGUAUUGAGUGCCGAAGAAAUCUUAGCGGCGGACGGGUGAGUAACACGUGGGCAACCUGCCCCUUGAGCGGGGGAUAACGACCGGAAAGUCGGUCGACUAAUACCGCAUAACAUACAAGUACCGCAUGGUGCGAGUAUCAAAGGAGAAAUCCACUCAAGGAUGGGCCCGCGGCUGAUUAGCUAGUUGGUAAGGUAAAGGCUUACCAAGGCGACGAUCAGUAGCCGACCUGAGAGGGUGACCGGCCACACUGGAACUGAGACACGGUCCAGACUCCUACGGGAGGCAGCAGUGGGGAAUAUU
rnacentral:rRNA from 1 species